rnacentral:snRNA from 1 species
GUGCUCACUUUGGCAGCACACAUACUAAAAUUGGAAUGAUACAGAGAAGAUUAGCAUGGCCCCUACCCAAGGUUGACACGCAAAUUCGUGAAGCAUUCCACAUUUUG